rnacentral:rRNA from 1 species
AUUGAACGCUGGCGGCAGGCCUCACACAUGCAAGUCGAACGAGUGGCGGACGGGUGAGUAAUGUCUGGGAAACUGCCCGAUGGAGGGGGAUAACUACUGGAAACGGUAGCUAAUACCGCAUACCAUCGGAUGUGCCCAGAUGGGAUUAGCUAGUAGGUGGGGUACCUGCGCACCUAUGCGACGCUCCCUAGCUGGUCUGAGAGGAUGACCAGCGACACUGUAACUGAGACACGGUCCAGACUCAUACGGGAGGCAGCAGUGGUGAAUAUUGCACAAUGGUCGCAAGCCUGAUGCAGCCAUGCCGCGUGUAUGAAUAAGGCCUUCGGGUUGUAAAGUACUGUCAGCGAGGAGGCGUUACCCGCAGAAGAAGCACCGGCUAACUCCGUGCCAGCAGCCGCGGUAAUAC